UAAGAGCUACACGCACGGGCUACGGAGGGGGAGAGCGCAUGAGGAAGUUGUGUUGUUGUUGUGAUGACGGAGUGGAUGUAGCGGCCGGAGAAUUGUCUGUACUGUAACUUUGUUACUCAGUGUUAGAUUAAUAAAUCCUCAAAGAAAGUAAAGCGGACUUUUAUUCACCAACCCCGGGACGAAGGGAAUUAACCCCAAAGUUUACUUAGCCGACAGUACUUUGGCCCUGGAGCAGACAGCAACGCCUCCCCCUGCAAACUCCGACUACGGUCAGAGACGGACCGGCAGGAAAGCGUGCAGCCGGGCGCAGCUAAAUGACACGUAAUGUAUUAUGGCCCGUGCAAAGUCAUGCCACCAGUCUGAGGACAUCACUGGGAAUGGCACAUGGGACACGUGGCUUUCAACUCCAGCGAGGUGGGCUUCACCGCGGGCAAUCGUGGCAAAGACCCAAGUCGACUGGACCACAGCGGAAAAUGAUCCUUCCAGAGAAGAAGUUAUUUACUUCUACAACGAAUGGAAGAGUUACAACUUCCAGAUGACAGCUCGCCGCUCAUCCUUCUGGGCAACUUGAACAUCCGACAGAACUUAUGUGACCCUACUGCGUUUAUUUUCUCCUUUAGCUCUCAUUUAAGUAUUAAAAUUCGCUGUAUUUUUGCAAGAGAGGCACCAAUCCUAUUUGAGUGACGUUUCGAUUGUGAAAUUGUAUUGGACCAUAUAGGUCAUCUGCAGAGCGUUGGCCCCUGGCGCAGUAAACCAGGGUUUGAUUCUUGGCAUGCACAAGACUCCUCAUGUGACUUAAAAUGAAUCCAGAAUGCAAUAUUUGUUCAGUAUGCAAGGGCAGUGAUUUAUUUAGUCAUGUUUGGUCAUGUUUUGGUUUUUUUACAUGACAAUAUGGUUUGGUACAUGCUGAGUUAAUGAAUAUACAUUCUAAAGUGCAAUGUCCAUAUGUGAAUAAGAGUUGUAUACGUUUAUCAUAGUCAACAUGGUGUGGAAAUAUCCCUUAUGUAGUUGGUCAAUGGGAACUAUAGUAGGCCGUAAUAACAGCUAAGGUAAUUACAGGUGGAUAUUUCUGUGAAUUAACCUUAAAUGAGACUGCAUCUAUGAUAUCUAAGAUAUACAGGACAAGACAAAUGCACUGGAUGUGUAUAUGUGUUGAAUCAAUUAUACAGACGCAAACUGGAGAACGA